rnacentral:lncRNA from 1 species
UGCUGGCGCAAGUCGUCUUGCGCCAGGCGACUGGGUCUGAGGAGGCAGGAGUUAUUCAUUCCCUUAAGCUUUCAGGCCGGGGGGAGAAUCUUUCAGGUGGUAGCUGCAAGAACUCUUAGUAUGUUGACCUCACCUCUGCCUUCCACAUACCACUACCAGUGAGGAAUUAGGAAUGCAUGAGAAGAGUGUCCAAGAAGAGUGUCCUCAUUCAUGCAAGGCUUAAGAGAGAAUGCAGGUCAACAUCACCAUGUCAAUCAGAGAAUACUUCUGUUGGGUUGAAUGACUCUCUGCCCCCAGUCUGACUGGUUGGAAGAGGCCCUUUUCCCAGCCUUUGUGAAAGAGAUCUUCAUGUAAACAGAGUCCCUCUUAUUGGCUGAAGUGAAGAGUCAUUCUGAGGCAUCUCAAGAUGAAGGUUUCCUAUUUGUGAUUAUGAAAAAAAUGUCAAGAACAAGUCCCUUGGUGUUCUUAGACCAAAGUCAGAACAACAGACCUAGUCAAGAGGAACAGCAUCGAUUGUUAAUAUGCUGUCUGCUUUCAACCCCCAAAGGAUUAUUUUCAGAAUGAAAUGAUCUGUGGUCUUUAAGGGGUGGGGAUGGGAGGAGCUGAAGAACUCUCGAUCCUUCGAAGAGGUCCCAGUGGACUUGAUUUCUCAGUGGAAACAGAGGGAUUUCCUUCUGCAGUGGGAAAGAGACACGAAGUGAUAAACCGAGCACCCUCUUUGAAGAUUUCCCAGUAUAUUUGUCCC